GCUCCUUUUCAGACUCUUCAUUGAGGCAUGGAGGUGACCUUGAAUAAUCAAAGGUUAUGCUAACAAGACACCAGCUUUGCUCUAAAGAAUCAUUAAUGUGUGUCCAGGAGGGACUCCGAGGCAAUGGUGUACAUAUUGGCUCUGAUGAUACUGUGAGUGGGCAGUCCUGAAGAGGCAGCAUGAAUCGGAAACGAGCAGAUGAGGGGAGCGACAGUCAGCAAAGAGCAUGUCAACACCUCAGCUAAGCACGCUCAUC